GACGAACGCUGGCGGCGUGCUUAACACAUGCAAGUCGAACGGAAAGGCCCUGCUUGCAGGGUGCUCGAGUGGCGAACGGGUGAGUAACACGUGGGUGAUCUGCCCCUUACUUUGGGAUAAGCCUGGGAAACUGGGUCUAAUACUGGAUAGGACCAUGCUGUAGGUGGUGUGGUGGAAAGAUUAGUUUCGGUAAGGGAUGAGCUCGCGGCCUAUCAGCUUGUUGGUGGGGUAAUGGCCUACCAAGGCGUCGACGGGUAGCCGGCCUGAGAGGGUGGACGGCCACAUUGGGACUGAGAUACGGCCCAGACUCCUACGGGAGGCAGCAGUGGGGAAUAUUGCACAAUGGGCGCAAGCCUGAUGCAGCGACGCCGCGUGGAGGAUGACGGCCUUCGGGUUGUAAACUCCUUUCAGCCAUGACGAAGCCCUUGUGGUGACGGUAGUGGUAGAAGAAGCACCGGCUAACUACGUG
rnacentral:rRNA from 1 species